UAAACGCACUGACGUUUCGGCAUCAAUUGAUUUCUCUUCAAAUUUAUUCUCUUUUAUAUAUAAGAAUUAUAUUUAUUGGAUUCAGACAGUUUUCGUGCUUUAUUAUGGGUAGAAAACAUACUAAUAAAGCACACAAACAUUUCACAUAUAACGAUGUAGAAGAUAGUUCACAGUGUGUCAUCUGUAAAUCUUCAUUGAAGGGUAAUUAUGGGACAAACUUAAAAAAACAUUUAAUUCGUUACCAUGAUUUUAAAGAAGAAUAUUUCACUGAUAUUUCUUUGAAUAAAAAAGAAACGGGAAAGCAUCGAAAAGAAAUACAGCCACAAAUAGAUGAAGUAAAU